UCCAACGAGAUCCGCGCCGUCGCUAACGCAUUAAGUGCCCCGCCUGGGGAGUACGGUCGCAAGACUAAAACUCAAAGGAAUUGACGGGGACCCGCACAAGCGGUGGAUGAUGUGGUUUAAUUCGAUGCAACGCGAAAAACCUUACCCACCUUUGACAUGUACGGAAUUUGCCAGAGAUGGCUUAGUGCUCGAAAGAGAACCGUAACACAGGUGCUGCAUGGCUGUCGUCAGCUCGUGUCGUGAGAUGUUGGGUUAAGUCCCGCAACGAGCGCAACCCUUGUCAUUAGUUGCUACAUUUAGUUGGGCACUCUAGUGAGACUGCCGGUGACAAACCGGAGGAAGGUGGGGAUGACGUUUCCAGGUUAGG
rnacentral:misc_RNA from 1 species